rnacentral:rRNA from 1 species
CAUGUAGGCGGCAUGACAAGUCUGGUGUGAAAUAUCUCGGCUCAACCGAGAAAACGCACUGGAAACUGUCAAGCUUGAGUAUCGGAGGGGAAGCUAGAAUUCCUGGUGUAGGGGUGAAAUCCGUAGAUAUCAGGAAGAAUACCGGUGGCGAAGGCGAGCUUCUGGCCAGAUACUGACGCUGAGAUGCGAAAGCGUGGGGAGCGAACAGGAUUAGAUACCCUGGUAGUCC